rnacentral:rRNA from 1 species
UACGGGGGGAGCAAGCGUUGUUCGGAUUUACUGGGCGUAAAGGGCGCGUAGGCGGUCGUGACAAGUCACUUGUGAAAUCUCCGGGCUUAACUCGGAACGGUCAAGUGAUACUGUCGGACUAGAGUACAGAAGGGGCAACUGGAAUUCUCGGUGUAGCGGUGAAAUGCGUAGAUAUCGAGAGGAACACCUGCGGCGAAGGCGGGUUGCUGGGCUGAUACUGACGUGAGGCGCGAAAGCCCAGGGGAGCGAACGGGG